GGCCAGACUCCUACGGGAGGCAGCAGUGGGGAAUAUUGCACAAUGGGGGAAACCCUGAUGCAGCAACGCCGCGUGAGUGAAGAAGCCAUUCGUGAUGUAAAGCUCUAUCAGCAGGGAAGAAAAUGACGGUACCUGAGUAAGAAGCCCCGGCUAACUACGUGCCAGCAGCCGCGGUAAUACGUAGGGGGCAAGCGUUAUCCGGAUUUACUGGGUGUAAAGGGAGCGUAGACGGCGAUGCAAGUCUGAAGUGAAAGGCGGGGGCCCAACCCCCGGACUGCUUUGGAAACUGUAUGGCUGGAGUGCAGGAGAGGUAAGUGGAAUUCCUAGUGUAGCGGUGAAAUGCGUAGAUAUUAGGAGGAACACCAGUGGCGAAGGCGGCGUACUGGACUGUAACUGACGUUGAGGCUCGAAAGCGUGGGGAGCAAACAGGAUUAGAUACCCCCGUACGA
rnacentral:rRNA from 1 species